UGCAGUCGACGCUUCUUUUUCCACCGGAGCUUGCUCCACCGGAAAAAGAGGAGUGGCGAACGGGUGAGUAACACGUGGGUAACCUGCCCAUCAGAAGGGGAUAACACUUGGAAACAGGUGCUAAUACCGUAUAACAAUCGAAACCGCAUGGUUUUGAUUUGAAAGGCGCUUUCGGGUGUCGCUGAUGGAUGGACCCGCGGUGCAUUAGCUAGUUGGUGAGGUAACGGCUCACCAAGGCCACGAUGCAUAGCCGACCUGAGAGGGUGAUCGGCCACAUUGGGACUGAGACACGGCCCAAACUCCUACGGGAGGCAGCAGUAGGGAAUCUUCGGCAAUGGACGAAAGUCUGACCGAGCAACGCCGCGUGAGUGAAGAAGGUUUUCGGAUCGUAAAACUCUGUUGUUAGAGAAGAACAAGGAUGAGAGUAACUGUUCAUCCCUUGACGGUAUCUAACCAGAAAGCCACGGCUAACUACGUGCCAGCAGCCGCGGUAAUACGUAGGUGGCAAGCGUUGUCCGGAUUUAUUGGGCGUAAAGCGAGCGCAGGCGGUUUCUUAAGUCUGAUGUGAAAGCCCCCGGCUCAACCGGGGAGGGUCAUUGGAAACUGGGAGACUUGAGUGCAGAAGAGGAGAGUGGAAUUCCAUGUGUAGCGGUGAAAUGCGUAGAUAUAUGGAGGAACACCAGUGGCGAAGGCGGCUCUCUGGUCUGUAACUGACGCUGAAGCUCGAAAGCGUGGGGAGCAACAGGAUAGAUACCUGGUAGUCACGCCGUAA
rnacentral:rRNA from 1 species